rnacentral:misc_RNA from 1 species
GAAAUGCGAUAAGUAAUGUGAAUUGCAGAAUUCAGUGAAUCAUCGAAUCUUUGAACGCACCUUGCGCUCCUUGGUAUUCCUUGGAGCAUGCCUGUUUGAGUAUCAUGAAAUCUUCAAAGUAAAUCUUUUGUUAACUCAAUUGGUUUCUACUUUGGUAUUGGAGGUCUUUGCAGCUUCACACCUGCUCCUCUUUGUUCAUUAGCUGGAUCUCAGUGUUAUGCUUGGUUCCACUCGGCGUGAUAAGUUAUCUAUCGCUGAGGACACUGUAAAAGGUGGCCAAGGUAAAUGCAGAUGAACCGCUUGUAAUAGUCCAUUGACUUGGACAAUACUUUUAUGAUCUGAUCUCAAAUCAGGUAGGACUACCCGCUGAACUUAAGC